rnacentral:rRNA from 1 species
AGAGUUUGAUCAUGGCUCAGAUUGAACGCUGGCGGCAGGCCUAACACAUGCAAGUCGAGCGGUAGCACAGAGAGCUUGCUCUCGGGUGACGAGCGGCGGACGGGUGAGUAAUGUCUGGGAAACUGCCUGAUGGAGGGGGAUAACUACUGGAAACGGUAGCUAAUACCGCAUAAUGUCGCAAGACCAAAGUGGGGGACCUUCGGGCCUCAUGCCAUCAGAUGUGCCCAGAUGGGAUUAGCUAGUAGGUGGGGUAACGGCUCACCUAGGCGACGAUCCCCUAGCUGGUCUGAGAGGAUGACCAGCCACACUGGAACUGAGACACGGUCCAGACUCCUACGGGAGGCAGCAGUGGGGAAUAUUGCACAAUGGGCGCAAGCCUGAUGCAGCCAUGCCGCGUGUGUGAAGAAGGCCUUCGGGUUGUAAAGCACUUUCAGCGGGGAGGAAGGCGAUGAGGUUAAUAACCUCAUCGAUUGACGUUACCCGCAGAAGAAGCACCGGCUAACUCCGUGCCAGCAGCCGCGGUAAUACGGAGGGUGCAAGCGUUAAUCGGAAUUACUGGGCGUAAAGCGCACGCAGGCGGUCUGUCAAGUCGGAUGUGAAAUCCCCGGGCUCAACCUGGGAACUGCAUUCGAAAACUGGCAGGCUAGAGUCUUGUAGAGGGGGGUAGAAUUCCAGGUGUAGCGGUGAAAUGCGUAGAGAUCUGGAGGAAUACCGGUGGCGAAGGCGGCCCCCUGGACAAAGACUGACGCUCAGGUGCGAAAGCGUGGGGAGCAAACAGGAUUAGAUACCCUGGUAGUCCACGCCGUAAACGAUGUCGAUUUGGAGGUUGUGCCCUUGAGGCGUGGCUUCCGGAGCUAACGCGUUAAAUCGACCGCCUGGGGAGUACGGCCGCAAGGUUAAAACUCAAAUGAAUUGACGGGGGCCCCGCACAAGCGGUGGAGCAUGUGGUUUAAUUCGAUGCAACGCGAAGAACCUUACCUGGUCUUGACAUCCACAGAACUUUCCAGAGAUGGAUUGGUGCCUUCGGGAACUGUGAGACAGGUGCUGCAUGGCUGUCGUCAGCUCGUGUUGUGAAAUGUUGGGUUAAGUCCCGCAACGAGCGCAACCCUUAUCCUUUGUUGCCAGCGGUUAGGCCGGGAACUCAAAGGAGACUGCCAGUGAUAAACUGGAGGAAGGUGGGGAUGACGUCAAGUCAUCAUGGCCCUUACGACCAGGGCUACACACGUGCUACAAUGGCAUAUACAAAGAGAAGCGACCUCGCGAGAGCAAGCGGACCUCAUAAAGUAUGUCGUAGUCCGGAUUGGAGUCUGCAACUCGACUCCAUGAAGUCGGAAUCGCUAGUAAUCGUAGAUCAGAAUGCUACGGUGAAUACGUUCCCGGGCCUUGUACACACCGCCCGUCACACCAUGGGAGUGGGUUGCAAAAGAAGUAGGUAGCUUAACCUUCGGGAGGGCGCUUACCACUUUGUGAUUCAUGACUGGGGUGAAGUCGUAACAAGGUAACCGUAGGGGAACCUGCGGUUGGAUCACCU